GAUUUAUUGGGCGUAAAGGGCGUGUAGGCGGAAAGGAAAGUUAGAUGUUAAAUUUUGGGGCUCAACCCCAAGUCAGCAUUUAAAACUAUCUUUCUAGAGGAUAGAUGGAGAAAAGGGAAUUCCACGUGUAGCGGUGAAAUGCGUAGAUAUGUGGAAGAACACCAGUGGCGAAGGCGCUUUUCUAAUUUAUACCUGACGCUAAGGCGCGAAAGCAAGGGGAGCAAACAGGAUU
rnacentral:rRNA from 1 species